rnacentral:lncRNA from 1 species
UUUGGGUUAUCUUAUAACCAUAUUGAGGUUGAUCAAAUCAAACCCAUAAUGAGUCAAAUUAAAUCCAAUCAAAUUGAACUUGAUGUAAGCCUUAUUACUCAAUCAAAUUGAGUCAAUUAACAAACCUAUUGCUAAUUAAUCCACCUAUAACUUAUUAACUCUUUUAGUAAGUUACAUAAUGCAAUAUUUGCAUUGGAUCAAUUAUCAAUCAAAUUGAUAAUCAAAUCUUAUUACGAUUCAUAAUCGUUAUUCAACCAUCUGAUCAGUCAAAAGUCUUUUUUGUGUGUGAUCCCAUAGAUUUUACUCUGUUUGGUAGUGAGAUAUAUUAUGAUCUCUAUCACAAUAUCAUUGAAACUCUUUUCAAUAGGUUGGAACAAUUCCAACUCAAUCCACCAAAGAUCAUUGAUCAUCAAGAUGAUCCUCAUGAGUCUCAUAAUCCACCAGUGACACCUAGCAAUAUAUAGUGGCAACCCAGCAGAAUAAAAAAUGAAUCUCUAGGUGCAGUUAACAUAUAAUACAGUUCCUUUAUCGUGAGUCCCGAUCAGAUGGCAGGUCAUGGAUAAAUCGUCAAACCUUAACAUUGGUCAUAUGAUAGAUUCAAUCAGCUCGAGUCCAUAUGUGACUCUAUGAAAAUUCUUUUUCAUUAAUCAUACUGCUAUGGCUACAGACUUAAGGACUCAGCUUUUUAAAUCUCAUAGGACUACUCUCUUCUGCUAGGAUCGAUAGAUCUCAUCUUGAUGUACACCCUACUCCUACAGUGGAUCAACUGUCGCUAACAUCCACUACAAGGGCUUCUUGAGACUUAUAUUGAUGUGUUAGUCAAACUGCAGUAGUCUCACUGCGAGAA